rnacentral:rRNA from 1 species
UCCACGCCCUAAACGAUGCGAACUAGGUGUUGGGGAAGGAGACUUUCUUAGUACCGCAGCUAACGCGUGAAGUUCGCCGCCUGGGGAGUACGGUCGCAAGAUUAAAACUCAAAGGAAUUGACGGGGACCCGCACAAGCGGUGGAUGAUGUGGAUUAAUUCGAUGCAACGCGAAAAACCUUACCUACCCUUGACAUGUCAGGAAGUCUGCUGAGAGGUGGAUGUGCCCGAAAGGGAACCUGAACACAGGUGCUGCAUGGCUGUCGUCAGCUCGUGUCGUGAGAUGUUGGGUUAAGUCCCGCAACGAGCGCAACCCUUGUCAUUAAUUGCCAUCAUUCAGUUGGGCACUUUAAUGAGACUGCCGGUGACAAACCGGAGGAAGGUGGGGAUGACGUCAAGUCCUCAUGGCCCUUAUGGGUAGGGC